GACGAACGCUGGCGGCGUGCCUAAUACAUGCAAGUCGAACGCGUCUUGGUCAAUGAAGUUGAGUGCUUGCAUUUAACUGAUUUGACAUUAAGACGAGUGGCGAACUGGUGAGUAACACGUGGGUAACUUGCCCCGAAGCGGGGGAUAACAUUUGGAAACAGGUGCUAAUACCGCAUAACAACAAAAACCACAUGGUUUUUGUUUAAAAGAUGGUUUCGGCUAUCACUUUGGGAUGGACCCGCGGCGUAUUAGCUAGUUGGUGAGGUAAUGGCUCACCAAGGCAAUGAUACGUAGCCGACCUGAGAGGGUAAUCGGCCACAUUGGGACUGAGACACGGCCCAAACUCCUACGGGAGGCAGCAGUAGGGAAUCUUCCACAAUGGACGAAAGUCUGAUGGAGCAACGCCGCGUGAGUGAUGAAGGGUUUCGGCUCGUAAAACUCUGUUGUUGGAGAAGAACGGGUGUCAGAGUAACUGUUGACAUCGUGACGGUAUCCAACCAGAAAGCCACGGCUAACUACGUGCCAGCAGCCGCGGUAAUACGUAGGUGGCAAGCGUUGUCCGGAUUUAUUGGGCGUAAAGCGAGCGCAGGCGGUUUUUUAGGUCUGAUGUGAAAGCCUUCGGCUUAACCGGAGAAGUGCAUCGGAAACCGGGAGACUUGAGUGCAGAAGAGGACAGUGGAAC
rnacentral:rRNA from 2 species